rnacentral:lncRNA from 10 species
AUUUCCUUCUUGAGCCUCCCCUGUUGAGGACAUCAGCAAGAAUCCUGGUCUUCAGCCAUGACCUCUGCGAAAUUCAAGGCAGAUGUGAAUGGCCACAUGCAGCAGGUCAAGGGGUCAUGUGGCUGGCCCAAGGACACAGGGAAUCAGGUGCUCAAUGGGAUCCCUGGAGACACAGAGGGCAGGAACCUGUGCUCAGCAGGCCAUGUGAAAGCACAGAGAGAAGGCCAUGUGAGGAUG